rnacentral:lncRNA from 1 species
GAUAAACAGUAAACAGCAAAAAUGUUCAGCAAAGUAAGAUCUACAAAUAAGUCAACAUGACCAAAAUUGUCAGUUUACCCCUUAAGGAGUAAUUGCCCUUUAUAGUCAGUUUUUAACAAUUUUCAUAAAUUUUUGUAAAUUUUUAGAAUAUAUUUUUCAGUGUUAUUAUUGGGCCAAGUUCAUUAUAGAUAGAGAUAAUUGUAGCAAGAAGAAUGUCCAGUAAAGUAAGAUCUACAAACACAUCAUGAUCACCAAAACACAAUUUUGUCAUAAAUUUAUCUGUGUCCAUUGUUUAAUAUGCACAUAGACCAAGGUGAGCGACACAGGCUCUUGAGAGCCUCUAGUUUUUAGACAAAA